ACCAAGUAGGUCAUUGAUGGAGAUUUAUUAAACAAUAUUGACCUAAUUUUCGAAUAUUAAGUAAAAUAAAAAAGGGUUUUGAAUCCCGAAAAUGAUUUAAUUUUUACGAGUAAUUGAUAAGCAUUAAUGUAAUUGUGCAGCGAUUAUUUAAGUAAUUAAAAGAAAAAUGAUAUUAAUAUUUUAGUAAUUAGUGCAUGAAAAUAUUACUUACAAGCUGUAAAAUGUUUUUUAAAAUGUUUAACUAAGCAUAAGUGGUUGACAGCAUCAAUGAGAUGCUAAGUAUCGACCGCUGAAUUGAUCUUCCUUUAACAGAUCUCAACCGGGAAGUGGCGCCAUCUUACAGUCGUGAGAGGAAUUAUUCUCGAAAGCAGCUUAUUUCAUAUAGAAAUCAAUGGUAUAAUUUAUAUCAUGAAUAAAUGGAAUAGUUGAUAGAUUUUAAUAAUAAUUUCUGAGGAAUUUACCCUGAAAAUUGAAAAAUGAAGGUCAUUUGUAUGAAUAUUAUGCAUGUGGAAUGAUUUUCACAGGUUUUUAUCAAUGUAUCCGUUGAUAUUUCAAUAAGAUUUUUCUCAGGCUAUUUAGUAAUGCCUGGGGUUUGGAAAUUCGCUUUUUGUUAUUAUUUCCGUGUUUCGCUUUGUCUAAUUCGUAGUCGGUUUUCAAUUUUGCUGAUUUAGCAAGGCCACGAUUAUUAUUAUAUUUCUUUUUCUUUAUGGAAUAGGAAAAGAUGAUAUUUAGACAUUACGUUUUAUCAAGUUGUUCUUACGGCUAGUGGAUGUUCGUUACAGUUAAGAGGAUUCGUCAUUGAAAAUGUGUUUCAACCGCCAACGUAUCGAGAUUGCCGAUCCGGAGAUGGAUCUUUUACCGGUGUUACUAGAUGAAAUUUCGAUCGAGGUGCAAGCUCGUUGGUACUUGGAUUCAGAUCCAAUCUUUUUGUUCGUUUCCCAUUAGUACGAGAUUGAUUGGAUACAUUCAAUAGCACCACCUUCGCCCCCGAUAAGCGCGGAUGGUCGUGCUCUUACCUCAUUAGAGUAUGUCGUGACCAAUUUACAUUGGUAUUUUACGGAUGAUGCUCUCAUUGGCGACAGCUAUUUGAUGGAAGUUUUGCGAGAUAUCCGUCACAUUCGAAAAUGCAGGAAUAAUUUACGCCUGUUAGAUUCCAGUUUGAG